AUGAAAGGGGAGGCAGAAGGUCACCCGGAUUUUAUUAAGCAGAAAAAUAAUUACAAGAUCAGAACAGAAGGAAUGCGAAGUUUAGCUGCAACGGGGCUAUUGAGAUGUAAACGAAGGAAAAAGAAAAUGACAAACAGGGAUAAAGCUAAGAACAAAAGUGCUGUCAGAUGAAAAUGGGAAACCGAGCAGCAAUUGCAGAGUAAAUAGCAGAAACAAGAUCAAACUAUGAUUUGGGCCACGUACUAAUGAAUCAGUCAAUCACUGACUAUUGGAUCAGCCCCCAAAUAUUGAACAAGUUUGAAUGUUUGAUUCGACCCUCAUUCUGACGUUGGACACUCUCGGGCCAUUCACUGGGCUACUCUUCUUUUACUAGAUCCUCCAGUCAUGUAAAGAACUGGUUUUUUCCCUCCUUGCCUUCCCUCUUCUUCUUUGCGGCCCUUCGAUCUCGUCAUUUGCAGUCGUCUGCUUGAGCUAAAGACUCGUCUAAGAGGUUGGCCGGGCUCGGCACUGAUCGGCGGAGAAAACCGGCUUCGGAACCACUGGCGCAUGAUUCUUGCAAGUGGAAUUGAAGGCAUGGAUGGAUUUCGACAGAGAUGGAGCUUACAUGGACGCCUUGAGGAUACCAAAAAAAGACUAGAAGCCUUGAACCAGGGAAUGAUGGAGAGGAAAAUUGAACAGUCCCCAGGAGCGUCUAAGGUAGAACAACUUUAAAAGAAAUGGUUUUUUGGUAACUUCCUUUUUUUCAAAAAAGAACUUUCUUGUAGUGAAGCAUGGUGUUUAUCUCUCUUCUAUAUUCACAAAACCAAGGAUUGCGGAACCGGUAUCGGGUGCCAUACCAGUCGGCGCCCGAUCUGGUUCGGUACCGGAUCGAACCAGACGGAACCGGUCCGGUUCUGUUCAGUUCGCUCUUGUACCGGCCGGUUUUGCCUCCUAUGGAGCUGGAACCGUUUUAUGUGCCCGAACCGACCCGGUCAGAGACUGGGUUAGCUCGAUUUGGCCUAAAUCGGUCGGUAUAGCCCGAUUCGGCAUUCCUUGCACAAAACACAGAAUUAGUCUUUCCACAUCUAAAUCAAGAAUAUUGUGUGAGUCUGUGACCAUUCGUUUCUUGUUAUAUUUCCUCUCAGACAAGAGGAAGGUCCUGGCUAGUUUCAGACAUCCACUUGCUGAAUUAUGCUGAUUAACAUGCACCAAGAAAGAAGAGGUAGCCAUGCAGCAGUUAAAAAUCUUUAAUAAUAAACUGAAAAUAAAAAUAAAUUUGCGAUGCACUUUAAUCCAAGUGACUCGAUAGGGCUUUGGUUGUGGGUUGGUCUUGAGCCCAAAUUUGUUGAUGGAGGCCAUGUUCUUGUUGUUGGCAAUAGCAGUGGUGAUUGAGUGAUUUUGGUAGGCAAUACAUUGCUGGAAGAUAUUAUUCCUCCUAUCAGAUCAAUCAAUUCACUAGAAAUUUACUAAAUGCAAGCAGCAAAUGUUUUUUGUUAGAAUAUCAAAUUGCAAGCAUCUCUUCUCCUAUGAAACUCAACUUCAUAACAACAUUAGGCCUAAAUGCAGAGUUGAACUUAUUGGAAUGUAUUAUGGCCCUGUUUGGGGGAGCUUUUGGAGGGCCAAAAAGCACUUUCUGGCCCUCCAAAAGUAUUUUUAGGUAAAAAAGAGUGUUUGGUAAAAUUUUGGAAAAGUUGUUUCAGCUUUUGCAGGAAGCUGAAAGCAGCUUUUUGGCAGAAGCUCCAUUUUGGAGCUUUCCGAAAAUGCUGUUUUCAGCUUUGUCGGGAAGCUGUAUUUUUUACCAAAAUACCCCCAUUUAAAAGUUCAUUUUUUCUCCCAAAAAUCUCCAUCCCACCGCCUUUUCCUCUCUCACCAUCCCCCCCUCUCUCUCUCCCUCUCUAUCUCCUUCUCCUCAAUGUCGCCGGCCCUCCUCCUUUUUCUUUUUUUUUUUUUGUUUUGGGAGGGAGCCCAUGGCUGCCCAGCCACCCAUGGCCGCGCUCCCCAGCCGCCGCUGCGACCCACCACAACAAAAAAAAGAGGAAGGGGCGGCCAUGGCCGCCGCCUCCCCGGCAGGCGCCGCGGCCCGCCGUCCCGACCCCCUCCCGAGCCCCCCCUCCCCCCGCGGUCGCCGCGGCCCGCCGUCCCGGCCUCCUCCCGAGCCCCCCUCCCCCCGCGGUCGUCGCGGCCCGCUGUCCCGGUCUCCUCCCGAGCCCCCCUCCCCCGCGGUCGCCGGGGCCUGCUGUCCCACUCCCCUCCCGGGCCUCCUCCCGUGGCCGCCGCGGCCCGGCCCCUUCCGGCACCACCGGCCUCGCGGGAGAAGAAAGGAGAAGGAAAGAGAAGAAGGAAAGAGG